rnacentral:rRNA from 1 species
GACGAACGCUGGCGGCGUGCUUAACACAUGCAAGUCGAACGGAAAGGCCUGCUUUCCCUUGUGGAUUGCGGGUACUCGAGUGGCGAACGGGUGAGUAACACGUGAGUGAUCUGCCCCCAACUUGGGUAUAAGCCUGGGAAACUGGGUCUAAUUCCCGAUAGGACUGCAGGGUGGUGCCUGUGGUGGAAAACGAUUUUCUAGUGGUUGGGGAUGAGCUCGCGGCCUAUCAGCUUGUUGGUGGGGUAAUGGCCUACCAAGGCGGCGACGGGUAGCCGGCCUGAGAGGGUGGACGGCCACAUUGGGACUGAGAUACGGCCCAGACUCCUACGGGAGGCAGCAGCGGGGAAUAUUACACAAUGGGCGGAAGCCUGAUGCAGCGACGCCGCGUGGGGGAUGACGGCCUUCGGGUUGUAAACUCCUUUCGACCGCGAGGAAGCCACCUGGUUGGAAGGGUGGUGACGGUAGUGGUAGAAGAAGCACCGGCUAACUACGUG